GCGAGAGCCUGCCGCAGACUCGUGCGAGUCUGUGCGCACGCGCGCCAUCCUUGUGUUGUGUGUGACGUGUUUGUGUGCGCAGAUGCCACCUUGGCAAAGGCGGCACUGCGCAUGCGCAUUUUUUCACUCCAUUUCAUCGCAUUUAUUCUAAUUACUGCUGCUCGCAUGAGCACAAACAACCGA
rnacentral:misc_RNA from 1 species